GGUGAAACACUAGUUUCCGUACGAUCACCGAAUUUAAGCUACGUUGAACUUGGUCAGUAACUAGAUGGGUGACCCCUUCAGAAUAUCAGGUGCUGUAAG